rnacentral:rRNA from 1 species
UACGUAGGUCCCAAGCGUUAUCCGGAUUUACUGGGCGUAAAGUGUCCGUAGCCGGAUAUACAAGUCUGUUUUCAAAUCCCACGACUCAAUCGUGGACAGGGAAUAGAUACUGUAUAUCUAGAGAAUAUUGGAGGUUAGUGGAAUUUCCGGUGGAGCGGUGAAAUGCGUUGAUAUCGGAAAGAACGCCGAAAGCGAAAGCAGCUAACUAUGAUAUUUCUGACGGUGAUGGACGAAAGCUUGAGUAGCAAACGGG